rnacentral:rRNA from 1 species
AUGAACGCUGGCGGCGUGCUUAACACAUGCAAGUCGAGCGAAGCACUUUUGCGGAUUUCUUCGGAUUGAAGCAACUGUGACUGAGCGGCGGACGGGUGAGUAACGCGUGGGUAACCUGCCUCAUACAGGGGGAUAACAGUUGGAAACGACUGCUAAUACCGCAUAAGCGCACAGUACCGCAUGGUACCGUGUGAAAAACUCAGGUGGUAUGAGAUGGACCCGCGUCUGAUUAGCUAGUUGGUGGGGUAACGGCCUACCAAGGCGACGAUCAGUAGCCGACCUGAGAGGGUGACCGGCCACAUUGGGACUGAGACACGGCCCAAACUCCUACGGGAGGCAGCAGUGGGGAAUAUUGCACAAUGGGGGAAACCCUGAUGCAGCGACGCCGCGUGAGCGAUGAAGUAUUUCGGUAUGUAAAGCUCUAUCAGCAGGGAAGAAAAUGACGGUACCUGACUAAGAAGCCCCGGCUAACUACGUGCCAGCAGCCGCGGUAAUACGUAGGGGGCAAGCGUUAUCCGGAUUUACUGGGUGUAAAGGGAGCGUAGACGGCAUGGCAAGCCAGAUGUGAAAGCCCGGGGCUCAACCCCGGGACUGCAUUUGGAACUGUCAGGCUAGAGUGUCGGAGAGGUAAGCGGAAUUCCUAGUGUAGCGGUGAAAUGCGUAGAUAUUAGGAGGAACACCAGUGGCGAAGGCGGCUUACUGGACGAUGACUGACGUUGAGGCUCGAAAGCGUGGGGGAGCAAACAGGAUUA